rnacentral:lncRNA from 1 species
GGGACUUUGGCUCUUAACUUGUGGCUAUUGUUUUAAUGAUCACUGUUGUGUGUUCAGGUGAUUGUGAGUGGCGUUCAGAUUGUUUAUUCUCAUCUAAUUGCUUGUUUCCUGCUGGAAUUUCCAUGUCAGACCCUUUCACUAUUUUCAUUAUUGCUUGCUUUCUGUUCUGCCCGACAGUUGGCCGCCUUGGUAUUGAUUAUCCAAGGUGGGUGCUGCUGUCACAGUCCUGUACUUGCUCUGACCCAUUUGAGGACUGUGUGGGGAACCAUUCUCAGUUGCUGGACCAAACAUCAGGAAAGAGACUUGACUAGGGCUUGGACUGCCUCCUGAGUUUGGAUGAGGCCAAAUUUGGAGUGCAUUUUGCACCCCCACCCUCAAGUAUUUCGGAGGAAAUGUGACCCUUGUGUUUCUGCUUCAUGUGCACUGAACUCAUUAAAAUGUUGAUUUACAAAGGGUGGGUGAUGUCCAGACAAAUCUCUGGGGCCUCUAUUUCAAGCCAGUCUUUUUUUUUCUUGGUGACUUUUUGUGGGAAGGGUAGGUGGGAAGAAGGAAUCAAAGAUUUUGUUUCUAAACCGGGAAAUCACAUUCCUUCAGGAAUGAAACUUGGACCUAGCAGGCAGAGACAGGAACUUAGACCUCUGGAGUUGAUUGGGUUCUCUAUUGGACGAGUCAUGUGCUUCCAGACCUAAUCAGAACCACCUGGACUUCCUCAAGGCCCAGUCACUGUCCAGGCUGCAUGAAACAUUUGAACUUGACCUGUGCUGAAAACGAGCCAGGGUACAUAAAAGACGAGCAUUCAUUUACAGAACAAAUGUACAUCUACAGAGAGCACUUGGAAUUCUGCAACAAACCCUCCAAGCUUGGCUUUUCAAUUCCUCUGAAAUCCCAGUGACUACAUCCCAUGAACAUUAAGUUACUCCUUUUUUAAACAAUCUAACCAUCCUGGAACUUGGGGGUGCAUUUUCUUACAGGGUGCACAUAAAACCUGUUUGGCACAGAGCGAAAGGAUGAUGACAUAUUAAAUUCAGCCAUGGGCCACUGAACUUCUUUAAAAGGCCCUGAGAUUUUGGAUUUUGCCUCACUUCUCAUUUUUUAAGGGGAAGAAUGUUCAAAAGUCAUUCUGUGUCUGUGUGUAUGUGCGUCUUAGGAACUAUCCUGACAGUGUUCUGAAUCUUGAUGAAGAAAAAGGACAGCUGCUGUGUUCCUGUUUAGUUCCUAGCAAAUAAAGCUCUUCAUUAUGACCCUGUCUGUCCGUGUGUCUUUGCAGUAUUGGGGACUGAGCCCAGGGUUGCUCUAUCUCUGAGUACACACCCAGCCCUUUUUAUUUUACUUUGAGAUGGGUCUUGCUAAAUUGUCCCGGCUGGUCUUGAACUUGUGAUCCUCUUGCUUCAUCC